CGCGUAGGCGGCCACCGCAAGUCGACUGUGAAAUCUCCGGGCUUAACCCGGAAAGGUCAGCCGAUACUGCGGGGCUAGAGUGCAGAAGGGGCAACUGGAAUUCUCGGUGUAGCGGUGAAAUGCGUAGAUACCGAGAGGAACACCUGCGGCGAAGGCGGGUUGCUGGGCUGACACUGACGCUGAGGCGCGAAAGCUAGGGGAGCGAACG
rnacentral:rRNA from 1 species